CCAGAGAGAGAAAGAGAGAGAUGGUGAAUUGUACGCGGAUGGGAUCCAGCAGUGUUUAUACUUGCAACUGCUACUACUAUUACUUCACCUCCUGGUUUUGAUUCAUUGAAACUCACAUUCCAUUUCUCACUGAUUGUUCAGUGGGACACAGAAUCAUUUCAGUGUUAGUUCAUUGCUUGGUUUCUUUUGGGUUUGUUUAAGAAGCUUGAUGGGUUCCAGAUACCCAUCUCAUCAACUCAGCAAUGGCCUUUUUGUCUCGGGCAGGCCAGAGCAACCAAAAGAAAGAACUCCAACAAUGAGUUCAACAGCUAUGCCUUAUACUGGUGGUGAUAUUAAGAAAUCAGGAGAAUUAGGAAAAAUGUUUGAUAUUCCUAUGGAUGGUUCUAAAUCUAGGAAAUCUGGCCCAAUACCUAAUGCUCCUUCAAGAAGUGGAUCAUUUGCUGGGGCUUCUUCACAUUCAGGGUCACUGAUGGCCAAUGCUGCUCCUCGUGCUGGGUAUACCAUGUCUGGUCCUUUAUCUUCUGGAGGCAUAUCUGGUUCAGCUUCAUUAAAGAAGUCAAGUUCUGGACCACUGAAUAAACAUGGGGAUCCUGUGAAGAAGUCCUCUGGUCCGCAAUCUGGUGGAGUAACACGACAAAAUUCUGGGCCUCUCCAACCAGUUCUACCUGCAACUGGUCUCAUAACAUCAGGCCCUUUAAAUUCUGCUGGGUUUCCUCGGAAAGUAUCAGGCCCUUUGGAAUUUAUGGGGUCUGGGAAAAUUAACAGCUUCUCCAUUUCUCACAACCCAGCAGUGACUGCUCUUAGUCAAGAUGAUGACUAUUCUUUCAUGAGGAGCUUUCCAAAGACGGUAUUAUGGUUGGUGAUUCUGAUAUUUGUGAUGGGAUUCCUUGCUGGUGGUUUUAUUCUUGGAGCAGUCAACAAUGCCAUUCUCCUUAUUGUUGUUGUGGUCCUUUUUGGAGCAGUUGCUGCAUUACUUGUUUGGAAUAUGUUUUGGGGGAGAAAGGCUAUCAUAGAAUUCAUUGCUUGUUAUCCUGAUGCUGAUCUUAGAACUGCAAAGAAUGGGCAAUAUGUGAAAGUCUCUGGGGUAUGUAAUAGAUGCUUUUAUAAUACAAGUGCAUGUGUGUGUAUAUUCUUAUGCCAUUUUUUUAAAUGGAUGCAGAUUGGGAUCAUCUUUUCCCUUUUUUGUUAUCAUUUUGCAUUGCUAUUGCACAUGCUUGAAGUUGUUCUGUUAGUUUAAGUGGUUCAGAGACCUACAAGAAAAUCAUAUCCUACUGUAACCACUCUUUAUGCGCAUGGUGUUGUACAGAAACUUCUUGAACACACCCAGAUAUACAUGAUGCUUUUAUGACGUCUCCACAAUUCCAUUGUCUUGAAAACCAUUUUACAUGUACCAGAUGCACCCUUAAUUGUGAGGACGUAAGCUUUUCUUAGUUUAAGAUACUAUUUUAAGAGAAUGAUAGCAUGGAAAAACUGAAUAAAAAUUUAUAGUCAGAUUUGUCAUGUAUGCUUGACUGAAUUAGGGUAAAGUUAUUCCUUUCAAGACUAUUUUGUCAAGCUAUUCCUCACUGCACUAUGUCCCACUUCUUUGGACUAGAUUGUGGUAGUUACGCAAGCCUUCCUAGGUCUAGGGUGAGUAGCAGAAAACUCUGAAGAGUGGAGAAAUGUUUAUCUCCAUUUGGAAUGGAGGGACUGAUUGUUAGUAUUAUUAUUUAUUGCAGCAGGGCAUUGUUACUAUGCUGCUUAAAGGGAUUGCCUAUGGAGACUACUUUAGUCUUCUUAACCUGUAAGGAAGUGUGAUUACUUAUAGUACAGGUCUUGGGGACUUAGAUAUGUUCUCAAAAUUUUCCAGGAGAUGGCAGCGGCAUUGAGUUUUGGCAUGAUAUUUGAUCUAGAGGAAUAGCCAUUUGCCAUGCAUAGGGGUUCAUUGGAAGCAGUAUGUAUGGAAUGGAUUACUGGUAGCAGCGGAUGUUGUGACUGAUGAUUUAACUGACUCUGAGAUCAGCAAAUAUGUUGGAAAAAUCCAACAAAAGGAAGCUUGUUCUUUACUUCUUGUUGUAGAGUUGAGAAGUGGCUCUACCUCGCUGGCAUUUUCUUUCCCAAUGUAUAUGUAAUCUUAAAGAUCCUUUUGAGGUUGCUAUCAUUUGGAAAUUUUGAAGUACAAUCUCUUAUGGGAAAGAAUGAUAGUAAGUUGGUUUUGAAGGGGUAAAUUUAAAUGGCAAGACCCCUGAGCAUCUUUAUUACAUUGACUUGUGACAUGGGAUUCAUAGCCACUUGUUCUUUUCUGAUUGAAGUUUCAUGACAGGAGCAAUAAUUUAGUUUGUUAGCCGUCCAUUUUUCCAGUAAGAAAAUUGAUUGUGGUA
rnacentral:misc_RNA from 1 species